rnacentral:rRNA from 1 species
UACGUAGGGGGCUAGCGUUGUCCGGAUUUAUUGGGCGUAAAGAGCGUGUAGGCGGCUUUACAGGUCCGUUGUGAAAACUCGAGGCUCAACCUCGAGACGCCGGUGGAAACCGUAAAGCUAGAGUCCGGAAGAGGAGAGUGGAAUUCCUGGUGUAGCGGUGAAAUGCGCAGAUAUCAGGAGGAACACCAAUGGCGAAGGCAGCUCGCUGGGACGUGACUGACGCUGAGACGCGAAAGCGUGGGGAGCGAACAGG